UACAGAGGUCCCAAGCGUUGUUCGGAUUUAUUGGGCGUAAAGGGUGCGUAGGUGGCAAAGUAAGUUGGAUGUGAAAUCCUGGGGCUUAACCUCAGAAUUGCAUUCAAUACUGCUUAGCUAGAGAGCUGUAGAGGAGACUGGAAUUUACGGUGAAGCAGUGAAAUGCGUAGAUAUCGUAAGGAACGCCAGUGGCGAAAGCGAGUCUCUGGGCAGCAUCUGACACUGAGGCACGAAGGCCAGGGGAGCAAACGGG
rnacentral:rRNA from 1 species